GGGUUUGGCCUUGGGAAUCACUUGUCUGGGACCCGUGUCACUUCCCUUUUACAUCUCUACAUCUCUGUCCUUGUCUGGCUCUGGCCAGAAAACUUCUGUGGGCUUUAGAUACUAAAGGAUUGUAGCAGUCCCAGAAAUCCUUUCCUGAAGCUCAGGGAAACCCAGUGACCUGUGAUCAAAAGCCCCUUUGCUAAUAAUCAGCUGGUGAAAAGUCAUGGUCUCUCUCAAGCUCCACUCAGUAGAUAAUGUCUGCUUGGAAGUCCUAAGGGCACCUUAAAAUGACCACAUAGAAACUUCUGCCCCUCUUCUUGUUCCACUCCACCCUCUCCUUCUUUCUGCUGGACAUCUGAGAACUCAAAGCCAUUCCUCAUCCCUCAAUCCUCUCAACAUCUUAAAUCCAGACACUUCUAAAGUGCUGGGCUCUCUGCUGGAGCUAGAGUCGCAGAGGAAACACAGGCCACAGAACAUCGGUCAGCGUAAAGAACAGAUACAGAAGGAAUCUUGAUGGAGAACUUAAGUGGGUCCAGCAGGAAGAACAGAGAAUAGCAGCCCCGUGGAGCUCCCAUAUGGGAGCAGACCAGCCCCUGAGAUGGCACACAUCUCAGCAUGACUAAUCCUCAGCACAACCCCGUGUGAAUGGCUCUGGAAAUGGAAUGGACUGGAAGUCAGGAUUGGAGAGACGUACAGGUGCAUCAAGAAGCCUAAGGAUGUUCAGUGCAAUGCUGCAUGUUGUGAAAACCUGAAGACCGCCACGUGGCAGCUGGCCUCCAAGUUGGCCCUUAUUGACCCCACCUCCUGCUCUCGCCUCAGCUGCAAUCCUCUCCCACUGAAUCAGUGUUAUUAUGUAUGACCAAUAGUCAACAGCACAUGGCAGUGUGAUGGCAUGCCAGCCAUUCCUGAACUUAGGCUAUACAAAGGCAGCAGCUUCUAUUCUGGGUUCUCUCCCUCUUUUUCAUCACUAAGGAAGCUGCCUUGUUGUGAACAGCCUUAUAGAAAGCCCCAUGUAGAGAAGAGCUGAGUCUUCCUGCCAUUUAAGUGAUGGCUUACACCUUAUAUGCCAAUCUUUUGCCCCUGGCCAAGUCUUCAGGUGACUGAAGCCCUGGCCCACAGCUCAACUGCAACCUCAUGAGAGACUCUGAUCCAGAACCAGCAGGAUAAGUUGUUCCCAGAUUCCUGGCCUCAAACUGAGGAGAUGAUAAACAUAUGUUAUUUUAAAGUGCUAAAUUGGGGGACUUCCCUGGUGGUCCAGUGGUUAAGAAUUCGCCUUGCAAUGCAGGGGACAUGGGUUCAAUCCCUGAUUAAGGAACAAAGAUCCCACGUGCCAUGGGACAACUAAGCCUGUGAGCCAAAACUACUGAGCCUGGGUGCCUCAACCAGAGAGCAUGCAUGGUGCAAACUACAGACCCCAUGCUCUCUGGAGUCUGUGCACCAGCACUGGAGAGAACCUCUGUGUCGCAACUAAGACCUGACACAGCAAAAGAAAUGUGCUAAACUGGGGAGUAAUUUGUUACACAGCAAUAGAUAACUAAUACACUCCAGACUACAGAGUUUUAUGCAGCAGUUAAAAAAUGGAGUAGAUCUCUGUGUGCUGAUAUGGAAAGAUUUCUGAUAUGUUGUUUUGAGAAAAUAAUAACCUCAGAAAAAUACACAGAGCUAUAUCCCUUUUACAUAAAACACCAUCAACACUGCUAUAUUUUUCUGCAUUUACACAUGCACGUGUGCUGUGCUAAUCGUUCAGUAGUGUUCAGCCCUGGAACCCCAUGGACUGUAGCCCGCCAGGCUCCUCUGUCCAUGGGAUUUCCCAGGCAAGAAUACUGGAGGGGUAGCCAUUCUCUUCUCCAGGGGAUCUUCUCAACCCGGGGAUCGAACCCAGGUCUCCUGCAUUGCAGGCAGAUUCUUUACUGUUUGAGCCAACAGGGAAGCCCACAUAUGCCUGCACAUAUGUAAUACAUAAGAC
ensembl:lncRNA